rnacentral:siRNA from 1 species
GACAUAUAGAGAGCGAGCCAUUGU